GCGGAGUAGCUUGGUUUAGUUGAGAGAGCAGCUGCUGCUGGGGACGUUCUCUGACUCUGCCUGCCUGCGUUUGCCCACCACACUGCCCUCUGGCUGCAUUUUAUUCUUCUGUUCUGCUUCUGCAUUAACAAACAGAUUCCUUGAAUUGCCGAUACUGCGCUUCUGUGAGGCAACUGGCACCAUGCAUUCCAGUUCAGAAAUUCUGCAAAGUCCACAAGGGUGUCUGUUUCAACAUGAAAAUCUAUGAGGGUAAUCACGUGGAGAAAUUUAUACAAGGCUGUUUGAAGGAAGAAGAUAAGAAAUGUGGAGCUAUAUGGAAGAAUCCAAAGACUCAACAUCGCUAUGAACUUAGCUGCUGUUCUGACAGAGACAAAUGCAACUGGACCUUGAUACGUCCAUGACAGCACUUUGCUCUGGAAUUGCCAUAAUUUGCUAAAUCACUCUUUAGAAUCUAGACAUCGUUAUCAUUAGAUUGUUGCACUCCAGUGCCUGCUGUCAUCUUCUGUGUUUACAGACUUAUUCGUGGGUGGUUUGUUAUUGUUUUUGCAUUAAAAUACAAUUAAAGUAC